GACGAACGCUGGCGGCGUGCUUAACACAUGCAAGUCGAGCGGUAAGGCCCUUUCGGGGGUACACGAGCGGCGAACGGGUGAGUAACACGUGGGUGACCUGCCCUCAGCUCUGGGAUAAGCCUGGGAAACCGGGUCUAAUACCGGAUAUGACUCCAUGACGCAUGUUGUGGGGUGGAAAGCCUUGUGCGGCUGAGGAUGGGCCCGCGGCCUAUCAGCUUGUUGGUGGGGNGAUGGCCUACCAAGGCGACGACGGGUAGCCGGCCUGAGAGGGCGACCGGCCACACUGGGACUGAGACACGGCCCAGACUCCUACGGGAGGCAGCAGUGGGGAAUCCUGCGCAAUGGGCGAAAGCCUGACGCAGCGACGCCGCGUGAGGGAUGACGGCCUGGUGUACU
rnacentral:rRNA from 1 species